rnacentral:tRNA from 1 species
GCCCGGGUAGCUCAGUCGGUAGAGCAGAGGACUGAAAAUCCUUGUGUCGGUGGUUCAAUUCCGCCCCCGGGCACCA